UUAUGGCCAUGUCAUAAUGAAACACUGGUUCUCAAAUGGUCACCAAAGUUAAGCAACAUUGAGCCUGGUCAGUACCUAGAUGGGUGACUGCUUAGGAAUACCAGGCACUGUAAG
rnacentral:rRNA from 1 species